GUGGGUUCAAGUGCAGCAAUCGUCUACGCUAUCUUAAAAGGUUCUGGCACAGAUGGCGGUUGGACAAGUUGGGGAGACUGGGGAGUAUGUAGUGUAACGUGUGGAGCCGGCUUAAUUACUCGAUCGAGAACAUGUUCAAGUCCACAACCUUCGUCAAUGGGGAAAUACUGUGACGGUACCUCAGAACAAGUGAAAAUAUGUAAUACUUAUCCAUGCUCAGUGUUAGGCACAGAUGGCGGUUGAACAAGUUGGGGAGACUGGGGAGCAUGUAGUGUAACGUGUGGAGGCGGUUUAAUUACUCGAUCAAGAACAUGUUCAAAUCCACAACCUUCGUCAAUGGGGAAAUACUGUGACGGAACCUCGGAACAAGUGAAAAUAUGUAAUAAUUAUCCAUGCUCAGGUUCUGGAAUAGGUUUUUCAGUGUACAAUCCUAAUAAAACAUCUGGAGGAAACACCCUUAUAUUCGAAACAGUACUGUACAAUAGCGAGGACUUUUUCAACAUGACAUCCGGAACAUUUGUGUGCAUGCAGGAAGGAUUAUACUUAUUUAUUAACACAAUUGUAAGAUUGAGAAAAAGAAGUGGUGCAGCGAGAUGUUCUUUCUAUAAGAACGGCGUUCAAAACCAAUAUGUAGCUGGUUACGCUGAUAGCGCUGAUGCAACCGUUAAUCCGUCUGGUACAAAUUCGAUCUUGUAUCAUCUCAAGCCUGGCGAUCGUGUUUAUCUUGGAUCAUGUACUGAUGUUUCUGAUAUAGACUCUUCUUCCAGCUUUACGGGCAUUUUGAUCCGUCCCUUUUACUAAGUUUAUAUUAAGGGACUAGCUACUUUUGUGUACAGAAGCAUUUGAUCUAUGCUAAAAUAUUUUAUAUUUCUUUGCUACUUGUUAUCAUGUUUCAGUGAAAAUAAUUUAGUUAUAAGAUUGGUGCAUUUAAAUAUUUUUUACUACUAGAAAUGAAAUGAUUUCACUAAAAUACCAUAUUGUAAUCUUUUUGUCAGUAGUAAUAAAUAGAAAAAACAUUUUUUUCGUUAACAGAAAGAUAAAGAAUUGCCCAAAAUUGUCGGCCGUGUUGUAAUUUGGUUUAUGAGUUCAAACGUUAAAUGUGCUAUACACAUUAACUGCAUACCGCUGUACCUAAGCUGAAGUUGUAUUUGAUAUUAAAAUAAUAAUAUGUUUUAUUAGAAGCUGUACUGUGCGUUUCCGUUGUUCAGUCAUUUAACUGUUCGAUGCUGCUACACUUUCCUCUUUGAUCUUUUUUAACGAAAGAGGUAGACGACGUCAUGAUUGUUAGUUUAGAUAGUUCUUAGAACUAGCUGGAACUGAGCUGCUUUGAUAUUUUUCUGCCGUUUUGAUUCGUCCUUAAUAAAAGCUUUAAGAAGAUCUUGUUGAUGCACAGAAUGCAACUAAGCAAAAAUAAAAGACUUGGUUUGAUCGAGUUUCUUCUUGAGAGAAGCCUUAACACCCUCUAGCAUCAGUUAACUAGUAAGCGGAUUUCCAUUAUGAUAAUAUUAAAUACUUUAUAAUCCUAAAGGACCAUGGGUUUUCAUAUAAUUAUUUACAUGUUUAUAAGGCAUUAUUUACAUGUGUAUAAGGAUGUUGCGGGUUACUUUUAUGUUUAAUGUUCUAUAACCUUGGAACAUGGUGGGGAUACAGAGUGUAACAGUUUUUGUCGAAUUAAGUAGCGUUAUUUUGAAACUCACUAUUCCAGGGUACUGCCAUACUAUGUUCCUUUACUUUGUAGGAUUUGAGCUUGUGGUCUGUAUGUUUUACUUUUUAAAUGCAUUUGUCAUGCUCUAAACUACACAUGCACUCCUGCAGUGUUAAGGUUUGGAGAGAAUGCGUUGAUGUAACGUUGCUUUACCGUGCAAAUUGCACAGGAUCAGCGUAUCAUAUAGGUCACGAGAGAAACGGCUAUGACAACAUUACCAAGUACCGCUGAUGCUCUUCUGAAAUAAGUUAAAUGUAACUGCGGAAAUAAAUGAUAUAGUGUGUAAAAAGUUGUUGUUUUUUGUUGGAUUUGUGCGUGUGUCGGGAAGCGGGCUGGGAGUGGGGGAGGGGGAUGCGGGGGAGGGCGGCGUACGUCCGUUUUCGUUAACAUUUUAUUUUUUACAAGCACUAAACUCUAAACUCUUUUUCUACAGUAACUUAAACACGGGUGGUAAACGCGCAAUUCAAUUCCCACUGGGAAUACGCUAAAAAUGGGUUGCGCGACUUCCGGUGCUGGGGUUGCGCAUCAAUACAUACAAAAUCGAGGUAGGUGGGUUUUUGUUUUUGUAAAUAAUGAUACAUUUACGAGUGCUUUCGAAAAGAAGCAAAAUGCUAUUCGACACAAAAAUGAAUAAAGAUCAUAUGUGUGAAAUACCAACUUAUUAAUUUAAGAAUCAGCUCUGUUAUCACGAAAACUCUGCUGGCUCGAGCUG